CAAAAUUAGACUUUUAUUGGUCAUUUGGGCUGCAAUGGGUCAUAAUAUCAACAAGUAAUUGCAAACAGAGCCCACAGAACUCAGGACAGCCAUCAUUCAUUAAAAAGCUGUUAAUCAUCUUAUGGCUGAGCCUCAUGAGUGGACUGGCCUUGUUCUUCCAUCCUGUUCUUUCAAUUGGCCCUCUGACGGCAUCCAGUGAUACACACACACGCACACACCAAUACGGUUCUCUAACAGGCAGAGACGAUUAUGAUGAGGGCUUCGGUCCACCUUUACAGUUUAGCUCAAACAUGAAGAUCCCGAAGGAUCGUGCAUUUAGGAGUAUGGCCUCAAACGUCAGUUGAUCCAUGAGAGUGGCCCGGGGGAGAAGACAAUGGAAAUGCAGAACGUAGCAGAGAAGAACAAAGGAAGCGGAAGGUCAACACGGAAUCCUUGACGAAGGACGUCAAGCCAUGAAAUCAGAGAACGGACAAAUGGAAGGUCAUUAACUGGGCCGAAAGGGCGAAACCAAAAAGGAAUGUUACACAUUACGUAAGGGGAGGAAUGAAUGAAAACAACGGGUAUCUGGACCAAACUUCUGUCUCACUUAUUCGCUUUAGUCUCCAUUGAGGUGGGCAUUUCUUUAUUUGUGUGUAAAUAAAUUUCAGAAAGACUGUUUUAUACGGAAAAGAUAAAAACAUGCAAAAAUCCUUUUGUCUGUAGUCCAAAUUAUACAUAUACAAGUUCUUCACGCCCUGUUCUUCUUCGUAGACUACAUCAAAAGAGGAGAAACAAAACAAAAACUAUGUACACACCAUUUAAUUUACAGUGGAGUAAAGAAUGAAAGAAUACCAGGCAUGAAAGAAUACCAGGAUGACUAAGGCAGAUGGCAGAUGAAAAAAAAAACAAAAAAAACCCUUUUCAUUUACAAAAUACUAAAUCACUUCAAAAAAACUGCAGAGAGAGAGAGAGAGAGAAAAAUAAAUGAACAAAACAAAAAGUUCUGCUACCAAAUAAUAACGCUCGUCUCCCAUUUUGCAACCGGCUGCAUAAGUUAACGUUUUGGUGGAAAAAUGGUGAAUAUAUAUGUAAAAAAAAUUGAAAACGCAACAAAAACGAGAAACUGAAAUCUAGUUUCUAGCAUACUGUACAAAGCUGUUCUCUCUGUCUAGACGCUCUCACUCUUCCAAAGUCUUUGUUUUCAUACGUGACGUGAACGAACAGCGUGAUGGUGAGAAACGCAAACAGAAGCGUGUAGAAGCAUCAACGUUAUAAACAGGCUCACGACAAAAAAACACUCCAAAACUCUGAGCCACCAAAGCCAUUGAACAGAAAAACAACAUAAUCAGAUCAAAUGAACAAAGAACGAAAAAGAAAGGAAAAAGUAAAAAAAAAAAAAAAUGUACAAAAAGGCACGUAAUAUCCCAGUGCUUCUGUACUGUGAGAUUCAAGUGUAACUUAGCAUUCAUUUAACGUUCUUUAAGCGUUCCUUCAUACGUUUCGUACUGAUGAUCCUUCAAACUUAGGGCGAAAAAAUCCUGGACUGAACCAAAACUAGGCAGAUUUCCUUCAUUAGACCCCCUCCGUCUACAACAGAGGGCCUUGGAGAGACCUGGUUUUGUUGCCAUGGUGAUCUUCCUUCCACUUUCUUGUCUCUUCGUUUCUCAGUCUUCAUUCUCUGUCUCUCUAGGGUAUAUUGGUUUCUUCAUUGUUUUGAUUCUGCACACUGUCCACGUCCCGCGAUAAAAAAAAA